UUUCUAUCUUUCUAUCAAUUGAUAAUUUCUUACUACUAUAAAAUUAAUUUUAUUUUUUAUUUGACAUAUAUUUUUAUAUAUCACCUUAAAUCAUUUUGGGAACCAGGCAGAAGUUAUUUGAUAAGCUUAUUCUUUUUUUUUUUUUUUCCUGGUGAAAACUAACUUGAAAUGGAGCUUUUCUUUUAUUUUAUUUUUUGUAUAAUGAUUUUUAUUUUUUUCCACUACAGCUGAUUGAUAAGCUUUUUCUCCUACACAAUUUUAUUCUCUCAUUUUUUCCCCCUCCUUGUCUGUGGUUCAUCAUUUCCUUUGCAGUCUUGAUUUUUGAUCUGACCAUCACUUUGACCUGUAACAGGAGGAAACAAGUCCAGGUAUGGUCCCAGUUCCGCAUUUAGCAGCUGUUACCCCAGAAACAUCCGUAAUUAUACUUACUUAAAUUAGAACUGUUCUUAUGAUAGGGACAAGGUGACGCACAGACACUAUCCUGAAUGUGAUAGUCUUAGCAUAAUUCCUCGUCCGUACUAUCCCCUCAAUAAAUAUUACUUGACUCAUGAAUAAUAAAAUACCGCGGUCACCAUCAUGACCGAAUUUUUGUCACGCACACAGCAAUGACAACGCAUGAGUAGGAUUUCUGAGAAACCUCUUCUUUCUGGCUCAGACUUUUUCCCCUGGUCCUGACGUGUGAUGCCAUUCAUCAAACACAUAUGUGAACAUUUUUAGAUGAGGACGAUGAUGAUUUAAUUAAACCCCUCUCCUUUUUUUUUUUUUUUUUUUUUUUUUGUCUUUUGUCGUUGUUGUUGUUGUUGUUGUUGCUAUUUCUUGGGCCGCUCCCGCGGCAUAUGGAGGUUCCCAGGCUAGGGGUCCAAUCGGAGCUGUAGCCACCGGCCUACGCCAGAGCCACGGCAACGCGGGAUCCGAGCCGCGUCUACAACCUACACCACAGCUCACGGCAACGCCGGAUCGUUAACCCACUGAGCAAGGGCAGGGACCAAACCCGCAACCUCAUGGUUCCUAGUCGGAUUCGUUAACCACUGCGCCACGACAAGAACUCCCCACCCCCCUCCUUCUUGAGUGAAUAAAGCCUUCUAGACGGCCACCUCUAUUUUGCCUUUUUAUUAUGCAUUUCCCCAAGGACACGCCUUGGUUUCUCCGGAAUGUUCAGUCAACCUUCGUUGCGAGCAUGCCCCCCAUUUUUCCCUGCCAACUCUGAUAAGGGAAGUGGGAGGAAGGGAUUGGUGUCCGGGGGAAGUUCAAUGUCCAAGGUGCUCCCCCUUCCGUCAGCUGGGAUGGCACAUAACAAGAACUUAAGCUUCAAAGGUUUUCACUCCCACAGGAAACUAUAGGACCUGCCGUGUUCAAGUGGGCUGACGAUCCCCCAGCAAAGCAUUCCUGGCAGUCUCCCCUUCACCCUCACUUCUUCUGAUUUAUGCCUGUAUCUUUGACCUUCUUUCGCUCUUCAUAAAAAGCAUUAAGUUGCCCUUCUAUAGCAGGGGCCAGCAGAUAAAUGUUAGAUUUAACAGGAGGCCCCCACUCGGGAAUGGACAUAGAGACCUCUCGGGUGCAGAAUGCUGCAAAACAUGUAGGUUUUGAUAUACUUCAGUUGUGUGCGGAGAAAUAAUGAAGGGACCGAGUCCUAAGAGCAAAAUUAAACUUUCCAUAGACAGAACAUAGCUGCAUUUUAAGUAACCACUUUAAAGACACGACUGCUGUUUUGGCAAAAGCUAGGAAGCCACACAAAAUUAAUUUCAUGUUUCAUUGACAUUACUUUCAGGAAUUUCAUGUUGACAUAACCUAUAGAGUAAGGGUGAGAGACUGCAGACAAUGUAUUUAAUGCUGCUACACCAACACAAAAUAUUUUAAAUGUGAACAGAGACCCAACUUUGUAAAAUAUUCAUGUUCUGUGUAAAACAAAAGAAUAAGACCACAAUUUCCGCAUCGGUUGUUUAUAUGCUAAUUGCUUCUAGUGCAAAUGUUUAAAUCCAACUGUGAACCAUUUCCAUGGCUCCUGUGUUGAACAUCGGAUACAGCUCAACCUAUCUCUCAUUUUAUCUUCCAUGUAAGUAGUGAAGCUAUUAUAGGAUUGAUACGUUAGAAAUACCAACCAGUGUGUGAUUAAUGUGUGUGCUGUGUUAACAAGAAGCCCCCCAAGAACACACACAUUCAAUGAAAUAGUUGCUUUUCUGCAAGAGACAAAGGAGGGGGAAGGGAAGUUGCCCGCUUUGGCCACUCGUAUGUCUCUGUGUCCCCACUCUGCAUUAGCAUCUGUCACCAGGGACCCACCAUCGGAGAAGCUCACUCCAUGACCAAGGUUCUCGCUGGCUCUGAGGCAACAGGCAUUGUUUUUAGAAUGCAGUUUUUGUUUCUACUUCUUGGCUCCCAAAGCUGCUCAAAAAGUCACAUAUUAGCAAUUUCCUGCCUUUGCGAUGGCUUCUCAGCUAGUUUCCAUCAUCUAAACGUAUGCAUCAGCACGUCCGCCAAGAGUUACUUUAUCCUCUUGGCUUGUACUGUGUGCUCUUUCCAGCAGGCUAUAGGGCCGGGGGUCCAUUUAGUCUGGCAGGAUGUGGAGACCACUUGGUAGUACAGGAAUCUCCGCAUUGGCUAGGGGAUUGAAGUUCUUUGGAUGAUUUCCAAAUGUCACAGUGACAGUCAUUGCUGGAGGCCACGGGAGGAUUUUCCUCUUGUGAUUUAGGAUCGCCAUGUGCAUUCACAGGUUAUUGCUGAAAUAAUGCUGCCACAAGCCACCCCAAACUCAAUACAAUAAUGGUAACUCUGGCUCACACAUCUCCUGGUCGGCUGGGGGUCAGCUGAUCUAAAUUGGUCUCCGUUAGGCACAGCCCCACUUUUCAGGUGGCAUCUGGGUCUGCCCCGCGUGUUUCUCAUCAUCCGAUGGUAACCUAGCCACGACAUACUUGCCUCGUGGCAGCGGCAGAUGCAUAACGAGGGACAAGUGGAAACACACAGAACUGGCAACUGCCACUUCUGCCCUUAUUCCACUCACUGGUCGAAUCAAAUCAAUUGGCUGAACCUAAAGCUUCAGGGAUUGAACCUGUAUCCUCAUGGAAACGAGCCAGGUUUGCAACCCGCUGAGCCACAUUGGGAACUCUCCAUAAUCUUAUUUUUGAUUAGCUCUUGUUUUUUUGCGUCAACUCUAUUUUCAGUUCACAGCUUUGUCUAAACUUGUGUGUGUGUGUAUUAGAAUAUCCUGAGUCACUUCCACUGAUACUGUCCCCUCCGUUCACACCCACUGGCUUAAGUUACCUAUGGCAUAUAGUAUAUAUGGUGUAUGGGCCUAUAUAUGUCCUACUUCAUAAGGUAAGGACUGCUGAAUUCUUUAUUAAGGUAACUACAAAAGUGAAAGAUCCAGGGAACAUUUCACAAAGUCAUCACAUUCCAUAACUUAGAAUACAAGAUUUUCUCAUGUACAUACAAAAAAUUUGUCUCGGAUAUAUUGUCACACACAUCAACUUUAGCUUUCCUUUUAACUGGUCUGAGAAAAAAGCACCAGAGCUUUUGAAAAAUUGAAAGUGAUAUGUAGUUGAAAGUGGUCAUUUUUGUAAAGAAGCAAAAUUACUUAUAUUCCUAGCAAUUUUUAGUAUCGAAUUAUAAACUGUUUCUUUAUUAUGGUCUGAAAUCAAGUAAGGCAUUUAGGUCUUUGCGUGGCAGCAUAGAAUUUUAAAAUAAGCUGCACCAAGAACUUAAAACUCGCUUCUUCCUCUUCCCCAUUUAUCAUUUGUGCUGUUAUGAUUCUUAAUUUACAUGUUUACUCAUUCACUUGCAUUUUUACCACCAACUAUCUGUGGAGAAGUUUCAAAUAUAGUUGCCAAUGAGCAGGUCUCUCGAUAUUAACAAAGCUUGUGUCUUGCUGAGAGAGACUGAUGUAC
rnacentral:lncRNA from 1 species